rnacentral:rRNA from 1 species
ACAGAUUUCUUCGGAUUGAAGUUGUUUAUGACUGAGUGGCGGACGGGUGAGUAACGCGUGGGUAACCUGCCUUGUACUGGGGGAUAGCAGCUGGAAACGGCUGGUAAUACCGCAUAAGCGCACAAUGUUGCAUGACAUGGUGUGAAAAACUCCGGUGGUAUAAGAUGGACCCGCGUCUGAUUAGCUAGUUGGUGAGAUAACAGCCCACCAAGGCGACGAUCAGUAGCCGACCUGAGAGGGUGACCGGCCACAUUGGGACUGAGACACGGCCCAAACUCCUACGGGAGGCAGCAGUGGGGAAUAUUGCACAAUGGGGGAAACCCUGAUGCAGCGACGCCGCGUGAGUGAAGAAGUAUUUCGGUAUGUAAAGCUCUAUCAGCAGGGAAGAUAGUGACGGUACCUGACUAAGAAGCUCCGGCUAAAUACGUGCCAGCAGCCGCGGUAAUACGUAUGGAGCAAGCGUUAUCCGGAUUUACUGGGUGUAAAGGGAGUGUAGGUGGCCAUGCAAGUCAGAAGUGAAAAUCCGGGGCUCAACCCCGGAACUGCUUUUGAAACUGUAAGGCUGGAGUGCAGGAGGGGUGAGUGGAAUUCCUAGUGUAGCGGUGAAAUGCGUAGAUAUUAGGAGGAACACCAGUGGCGAAGGCGGCUUACUGGACGAUUACUGACGCUGAGGCUCGAAAGCGUGGGGAGCAAACAGGAUUAGAUACCCUGGUAGUCCACGCCGUAAACG